GGGACAUUCCAGGGAUUCCCUGGAAAAGCAUGUAGGUGAAGAAAAUGUCCCCUCCCCCCCCAGCAGUAUAUCAAGGCAGCUGAACCUGUGUCUUUCGCAAAGACCACCACCCUGGGUUUUCUCUCUUCUGGGCCUCAAAUGCUUUGCCAAGACACAACAGCUUUUAUAUUUGGAAUGAAAAGAAGCCUAACAUUUUCUUUUUUUUUCCCCACCCCAAUUUUUUUGAAAAUUAGUAGAGAAUGGCAGCUUAAAUGAUUGCAUAGUAGGAGAGGGCUGUAGUGGUGGUUUUGAGAAGUCUACAUAGGUCAGCUGUCCACAUGCGAAUUGCUAAGACUGGAAGGGAGGACUUGUAUUUAAUUGAUUGCAUUGCACUAUGUCAUUGGGUCUCAUCCAGGUACCAGUUUGGACAGGGAUCAUUAACUAUAGACUGUGCUGUUCAUUUGGUUGGAUCUUCUAGGGCACAGCUCUUUGUUUGCAGUAAAAUAAGUGAAGUAUUGGCACACCAGAUUUCAGAGCACUGACACACUGAUCCUAUUUUCUAUUUUCUAUUAAAGAUAAUGGAGAACAACCUGUUAUCUGUCAUGAGAGCUGGAUCACAUUAAUGGAGUGCUCUUCUCUCAUUAACAAGCAUCCAUACCCAUGCUGCUUAAAGACAGUAUAAGGUGUUAUUAUACUGAGAUCACCUGACUCACCUGAAACAGAAAUACACUCUUCAGUUACUAUUCUGGCUACUGCUUUGGUAUUACAUGAGUACUACCUUCAUUUGAACUCGUUUUUGGAGAGAGUAGAAUUCCGAAGAAAAGUUGCAAUAUAGGAUGGAGGCCUGUAUGUGUAAUCUUACUGAAAUCAAUGAAAGUGUCUAUAAGGUAGGAAGUAUUGGAAUAAAUGCAAGUAAAUGCAAGUACUAGACUUCA
rnacentral:lncRNA from 1 species